rnacentral:rRNA from 1 species
AACGAACGCUGGCGGCAGGCCUAACACAUGCAAGUCGAGCGCCCUUUCGGGGGAGCGGCGGACGGGUGAGUAACGCGUGGGAAUAUGCCCUUCUCUACGGAAUAGCCUCGGGAAACUGAGAGUAAUACCGUAUACGCCCUGUGGGGGAAAGAUUUAUCGGGGAAGGAUUAGCCCGCGUUGGAUUAGGUAGUUGGUGGGGUAAUGGCCUACCAAGCCGACGAUCCAUAGCUGGUUUGAGAGGAUGAUCAGCCACACUGGGACUGAGACACGGCCCAGACUCCUACGGGAGGCAGCAGUGGGGAAUCUUAGACAAUGGGGGCAACCCUGAUCUAGCCAUGCCGCGUGAGUGAUGAAGGCCUUAGGGUUGUAAAGCUCUUUCAGCUGGGAAGAUAAUGACGGUACCAGCAGAAGAAGCCCCGGCUAACUUCGUG